UAGCGAAGGGGGCUAGCGUUGCUCGGAAUCACUGGGCGUAAAGGGUGCGUAGGCGGGUUUCUAAGUCAGAGGUGAAAUCCUGGAGCUCAACUCCAGAACUGCCUUUGAUACUGGAAGUCUUGAGUAUGGGAGAGGUGAGUGGAACUGCGAGUGUAGAGGUGAAAUUCGUAGAUAUUCGCAAGAACACCAGUGGCGAAGGGCGGCUCACUGGCCCAUUACUGACGCUGAGGCACGAAAGCGUGGGUAGCAAACAGGG
rnacentral:rRNA from 1 species